CCCAGCUGAAGUCACAGGUGGUUAUAAAUCACAGGAGCUGGGAACUGAAAUGAAGCCCUCUUGGAAGAGCAGCAAGUGCUCUGAACUGCUGAGCCACCUCUCCAUCUCCCAGGUAAAGCGUUUUCACAGUCUCCAUGCUACACAAACUCCUGAUGCUGUGAGAAACAAAAUAUGUAUGCUCUGGGAGGAUUUUUAGAAGGAUCCCGGCCAGGAAAAGGGCUCAUGGGGUCAGCUUUCUGUGGGUGCAGGUUAUUGAGGGUUGGGAGUACAGAGGGCACUGGGCAGGUGGAGUGGGUCCAAGCCACGUGGAAGCAUCAUGCGCACACUGGCAAACACAGCCCAGGGACUUUGCCCUUCCCUGUGCUGCAGGCCCAUGAAAUAUUUAGGCUCCUGGAUGCUGUUCAUCCCUUACUGUCCCCUCAGCAAGGAUACUUCUUCCUUUACAUCAUUUAUGGCUGUCCUCUUUCCUCCCCUCAGAGGCAGGCAGAGCAGGAAAAAGCAGACCUGAAGCUGAAGAAGUCUUUCUGAUCCUGUGAGCAGAAGGCAGAGUUCAAGCCCCACCUCACACACAGCUAUGCACUCUGAAAGAGGAUACCCACUGGGUGGCCUAGGAAGCAAGGGAAGAUGGGUCUUAAGCUAGGAAAGGGUCAUUUUGCUUCUCAGGGAUGAGGAAGCUUCAAGAGAACAAUGCUCCUGAAGGAAAGAAAAGAAAGUCUGGACUGACCAUAAAACCUGCCAUUUAUUCAUGUAUGUAUGUAUGUAUGUAUGUAUUUGUUUAUUUGAGACUGGGUGUUACUAUGUGACUCUGGCUGUCCUGGAACUUACUAUGCAGACCAUGCCGUCCUAGAACUCACAGAGAUCUGCCUGCCUCCGCCUCCCCAGUGCUGGGGUUAAAGCUUCUCUCUUCUUCCUCUGGCACUUAUUUCUAACAUCCAUGGACCAGGCCUCCCAGUUGCCAUGGAGACGCAGUGUGCAGCUGGAUGGUGAAUAAACUGAGGCUGAAACCUGCUCCAAACCAGGUCACCUGGAGUUGAACAGACAAGUUCCUGCUAUUAUUAAGUUCAUGAAGGGUGGAAAGACACAGGACUAUCUUAACCAACCUGUAAUAAAACUGGUUCCUCUUCCUGUC